UCAUGUUUAUUAUUCAUUCAUUCUACUUUUUAUUCUGCAGAAUCUGGACCCUCGUUCCCAUCCCCCCGAUGACGAUGCAUCCAGUGAUCAUGACUACGAGAAUACUGCACAUAAGCCCUGUGGCCAAGUCUGACCUGAACCCCAAUGAGAAUGUGUUCCUCCCCUGCAAGAUUCACUGCUGAACUUUUCCCAUAACCGGAGUUCACCUAAAAGCAUCAAAAGUGCCAAAAGAGGUGGUUUUUUUUUGUUUCCUCUCAUUCGUGCGGACAGCUAAAUUAACUCUGCCCACUAUAAAACAAUGCGCCCCCCGCCUGCUCUCUCUCUCUCUCUCUCUCUCUCUCUCUCUCUCUCUCUCUCAUGGUAAAAUGUAUUUAUUUCUUUCCAUCAACUUUUCCAUCUUACUGUCCUUGUUCCCUCAACAUCUUCAAUAAGCAGUAUUUUUAAUUCUCUCAGCACGUCUUCUGAUUAAAUUAGGAGUUUACAUUUGCUUGUACUGCAGGACUUGUUCACUAUAAACCAACACAUCUGCACUUGCUUCACUUUUAGUUUACCUGAUGUUGCUUCACCUUGUAAAAUAAAAACUGAAAACUGAAAUAAAAACUUUCAAAUAUCUACGUCUAAAUGGCGCAGAGUGUUAUUUUGGGCAAAUGUACAGUGUCAUAAAGUAACUAGAAAAACCUUAAUGCGAAGUUCUACAUCUCAUUCAGUAAAAGGAGGCACUUAAAUGAUUUACUGGCCUGAGUAAAAGAGGAUGGACUUCACCACAUUCCUAUAAAGAAGUUAGUGUCAUCUCAGUGUUGGAUCCUAAUGUCAGUGCAUACUGAUCAAUGCACAAUCCUUGGUUCAUGACUCUAUCAUGACCUAUAGGGUUCAGGCCUAUGGUACGCAUAAGGCCUUAGGGCCUUUGUCACACAGAUGCCUCAGCUUAUGCUUUUGCGUUCGUAUGGUUAGUUGUAACUCAUAGUGACAAUGAUAUCCGAUUAGCAAUGUUCUAACACUAUCUGUUGUUUAGUCUCAUGUCUCAUGACUACUAUCUCUCUCUAUUGUCUUGUCGUCAUGAUUACGUUAUGCUCAUGCCACUCUCAUAUAUGCCUUUUCUUCUCAGUGUGUAUAUGCUCUGUUGUUCUGACCAAUAAACUUUAAAACCCUU
ensembl:lncRNA